rnacentral:lncRNA from 1 species
UUGGUGGUUCUAUUACAUAAAUGUUGGUGGUUCUAUUACACGAAGGUUGAUGGUUGAAGAUGACCGUUGAAUCUUGAAGUAUUUAGAUUUUGAUUUUGUUUUCGUUAAACAAUGUUUCUCAACUUGGUUUUCGUUCUAUGCUUUUAUUUAUUUGGUUUUUUUUUAUCAGUAAAUAUGUUUACUUUUUGUUUGAUUUUGAAUGAUCAUAGUUGAUGUUCCUUAUUUUUGAAUCGAUUUUACUUAAGUUUUGGUUACAAAAUAAGUACGAAUCAAGUAUUUUAAAACCGAAGAACCGAUUUUACUCAUGUUUUGGUUAUAAAAUAGGUAAAAAUCAGGUACUUUUAAACCGAAAAACUGAUUGGGACCCGAACCCGAAAGUAUAUUGGGUUCUGCCGGUUCUUUGAAGAUUUACUAACUCCAAUCCGAACCCG